rnacentral:lncRNA from 1 species
CAUGGAUGCCAAGAUCCUUUUCAUUAAUAUUUUAGGACUCCUACCAGUGUCUAAAUCUAGAAUAUAUAACAAGGAAAAGAAAAUACAGAAGGGCUAAUACAAUAGGGAGAUUAGAAAGGGACUCCUCAGUUUGUGGACGCGGCAGAUAUAUCUCGAAGUCUCUGGAAUAGUAGCCUCACCUCAAGGGUGAUAGGACUGAGUCAAAGUACCUAGAUCUGCACAUGAAAAACAUGCGUGGAAAGGGCAUGACUACACCACAGCGGUACUUAGUAAGUGACAAGCCUAACCUCGGUCGGGUAGUGACAAGGAUGGUCAGGGCCCUACUGAGGUUAAAUAAAAUAUAAAGUUCGACAGUGUAGAACAGAACAGUAUAAAUAAGUACAGUAGUAAAAGUAACACAAGAUAAUAAGGGCAACAACAACUAUUACAGUGGUAAGGUAAUCACAAAAAGAAAUGCGGCUCAGCACCAAAAUAACAAUCGGGGAUCUCCCAAGAUACCAUCUUGUAGUCCCAAAUAUAUAUAUCCAAUGGAUCUCCCGGGAUCCUGUCACGUAGUCCAACUCAUAGUACGUGGGGAUCUACCGGAAUCUCGUUCCGUAGUCCCAAAUGUAAAUACCCAAUACUGGGGGAAUCUACCGGAUGCAGUCUCGUAUUCCAUAUAACUGUGCAGGGGGAUCUACCGGAAUCCCACAUCCGUAGUCCCAAUGUAAAUACAUAAUAGCAACAGGAAAAUAUUCAGCAAAUGUCAAUUUCAUAUUAAGGCAAACAAGUAAUUCUAGUCUAGCAUGUUGCACAGAAUUCAGGUAAAGCAGUUUGAGCAAAUAAAGCAAUUAAAUCACUUAUACAUGCUUUCCUAUUCUAACAACAAGCUUAAAGUACAAGUAAUAUAAACAGAGAGGGAAACAUACUAAUAAUUACUUAAUAAAAACUAAAUUUUCAACAAUUAGCACAAGUACGCACUCGUCACCUCAUGUAUAAGGCACUUCAAUUAAAAAUAAUACCAAAUUCUAAGGGGAAGGUCCCCCACACAAGGUUAGGGAAACCACUUACCUCGAACCGGCUCAAAAUCAACUCGAAACCAUAUUCUUGCCACGAGUACUCGACUCCAAAUGGCCCAAAUCUAUUCAAUUCAAUUGCAUAAUGUAAAUAACACUUCAAGCAACUGAUUCUAUAAUUAAAUUCUAAGCUAAUAUGUGAAAUUAGGUAAAAUUUAUAUAUUUAGAGUGCUCAUACUAUCACGAGUUCAUACAUACCAAAAUUAUCCAAAUCUAAGGUCAAACGCCUAAUCAAAAUUCGAAUUCUAGGUCUAAGAACUUUCUUCCAACUUUUCCCCAGUUUUCAUCUCCAAUCCGAAAUUAAAUAAUGAAACUAACUAUAGAUUGAUGGAAUAUAACUAGAAAGGGUUAAGGAAUUGUUACCCAAUCAUUUCCUCUUCAACUUCCUCCCAAAAUUGCCCUCUCUCGAGCUCCAAUUUGACUUUUCCAAGUUUUGAACCAAACCCUCGAAAUUUCAUAUUUUCGCCCACUGAUUACCACAUUUGUGGUCAAAGGAGUGCAUCUGCGGUCUCGUACCUACGGAAGUAUACAUCGUAUGUGCGAAAAGUCACUUAACGGGCUUGGUCCGCAUCUGCGGUCGCUUGGCCGCAUCUGCGAAAACCCAGCCGCACCUGCAGAUCCUAC